CCUGGUGGAAAGUUGACUUGCUCCUUCUGGGGCUGGGACGGGGGUAGUUAUCUAAACAGGAGGGUGUUGCUAUCAGAACUCUGAAAAAGAGCAUCCAUUUCUGUCCCCAGCUUCUCAGUGCAGUCUCCCCUUCCUUCCCACCACAAACCCGUGGUGUAUUUACAUAAGAAUGAAUUUAAACAAACCAAACAGCAUCCUCAUUUACAAUUUUAUUUAUUAUAAAAUAAUUAUUCACUGUUUUGAAGCUCCAACGACCUAGGUCUGAAGAAGAGGAGACAGCUCAAGGGGGGCUGCCCACUCCCUGGAGCCACCGCGGGGACCUGCCUUCAACACCGAGAACGGCAACGCAGACCCUCCUGGGUGCAGCGGGCAGUGCUGUGGCCUCCGUCGCCUGCCGUUCAAAUGGCCGUUCUUUGCUGUGCGGAUGGCGGGCCGGGCGCCUUGACUGGCCCAGGUCUCCAGACCCCGCCAGGCCCUCCGCCCCAAUGUGAGCGAUUUAUGACUCUUGUUAAAUACUCAUUAGGACUUUGCACCUUUCUCCUGCAGGACCCAGGAAGCCACGGGCUAAGCAACAGCGAGGCGAGUGCCAAACAGUCAGCAAUGACCUGCAAGGAGCACGAAGCUGUAACCCAGGUGCCCAGAGGGUCGGCUGGAUGCAAUGAUCCGGUGGUCCUCUCAGCCCAACCCCUGGGUGCCCAGACAGUGUUCUCCUGCCACGCCAAGCUGGGGGCGGGGGUUGGGGGUGGGGGGAGGCGUGUCCAUGACGCCUCUGGAGCAUCCUGACCUAGAGUAGCGCCUUCAACUCGCAACACUGCGGAGACCCCCACUUCCAGAGGGGCAUGCCGCGGAGGGAAGAGUCAAGUGGGGCAGGCGGGAGGAGAUGCCGGGAGGCUCCAGGAAAACACGAAACGGAAAAAGGCCCAGAGCAAAGGACACGGAUGGUCAGACUCUGGGAGCAGUGCUUCAAUAGAGUGGGGUUUGGCUCCCCGGAAGGCGGAAGGCAGGUGAGCUGGUGCGCAAAGUGUGCCUGGGAGCCUGGAGAUUUCCCAACCCACGGGGGUUUCCCACCGUUGCAAGGCAGAGAAAGGGACGCAGUGGCCCGGCCUGCAGUGCCCCGCAGCAUAUUUUUUUCUAGUGCAAGAUGACAGCUGUCUAUAUGAAGACUUAUUUCAUGAUUAGUGUUUGCACUGAAGUGGGGCACCCUUCAGGAAAACUCUAACCCAGCUCAUCUGGAUCCCUGAGGCAUCCACACUGGCAGCAGGAAGACAUUCAUUGUUAUCAAACUUAUGGAAAUAGAGGCUACCAUGGCCCAGACUUUGACCUUAACCUUUAAUUUCUAAACUGUGGAAGAAUUUUUACCUCCUCUUGUUUUCAGUAAGCAAGAGCAAAUAAUCCCAAGCCAUGCCCUCCUUUCUGAGAAGCUCUGAAAUUGAAUGUCUGGGUAACCCCAACAAUUGGUGCAGCUAAUGCAAAGUUUAUAACCGGACUCCUUAAGUGGGGAGUGUGACCUGCUGGAAAUCUAACAGGAUUUCUGUAUUUUCUGUGGUCCUGUUGCUGCAGAAGCAGAUUGCUUCAUUUCCUCCUCUAUCCCGGGUGAUGGACAGACUCUUCUACCCCUGCAUGAUGGAAUUUCAGCGGAGAAAUGCAUGAUGGGGGAGUAGGGGAGGGGCAGAGAGGGUUUCACCCUCUCACUGAGUUGAGAAUAGGAGAUAAGAACACCUCAAAUCCACUUGGUUAAAUUUUACUGUCAUUUUCAUUAAUAUUUCAUUAAUCAAAUCAUUUACUUUAAUUGGGAGUUUGGUCACCAUUGUCCCAUAAAUGUUAAAUACUAGUGUGGUGUUCACCUAAGUAGGAAUGGGAUAAAAUAAAAAUGCAACACUGAUAAGAA